GACGAACGCUGGCGGCGUGCUUAACACAUGCAAGUCGAACGGAAGGGCCCUGCUUUUGUGGGGUGCUCGAGUGGCGAACGGGUGAGUAACACGUGAGUAACCUGCCCUUGACUUUGGGAUAACUUCAGGAAACUGGGGCUAAUACCGGCUAGGAGCUCCUGCUGCAUGGUGGGGGUUGGAAAGUUUCGGCGGUUGGGGAUGGACUCGCGGCUUAUCAGCUUGUUGGUGGGGUAGUGGCUUACCAAGGCUUUGACGGGUAGCCGGCCUGAGAGGGUGAACGGCCACAUUGGGACUGAGAUACGGCCCAGACGCCUACGGGAGGCAGCAGUGGGGAAUAUUGCACAAUGGGCGGAAGCCUGAUGCAGCAACGCCGCGUGCGGGAUGACGGCCUUCGGGUUGUAAACCGCUUUCGCCUGUGACGAAGCGUGAGUGACGGUAAUGGGUAAAGAAGCACCGGCUAACUACGUG
rnacentral:rRNA from 1 species